CCACCUGGUCACACGGCCCUGAAUGUGCUUGAUAGUGUAUGAUCUCGAAAGCUAAGCAGGGUCAGGCCUGGUGUUAGAACUUGGAUGGGAGACCCUUUUUUCUUAAUAUAUAAGCAGACAGAGGCU
rnacentral:rRNA from 1 species